rnacentral:sRNA from 1 species
AAACUUAUAUCUUUAAAUCACACACAUUCCGACACAUGUUCCGGGGUGCCUCAGCUGUAAAACUAUUUGUGCUUUAACAAAUAGAUGUUGGAGGUCGGAUUCAUGGGGGAUGUGGAGGCCUAAC